UACGUAGGGGACAAGCGUUGUCCGGAAUUAUUGGGCGUAAAGCGCGUGUAGGCGGCCAAGUAAGUCUUACGUGAAAUCCUGAGGCUCAACCUCAGCCUGCGCGGGAUACUGCUUGGCUAGAGUCCUGGAGAGGAAGGUGGAAUGCUUGGUGUAGAGGUGAAAUUCGUAGAUAUCAAGCGGAACACCGGUGGCGAAGGCGGCCUUCUGGACAGUGACUGGACGCUGA
rnacentral:rRNA from 1 species